rnacentral:rRNA from 1 species
ACUCAAAUGAAUUGACGGGGACCCGCACAAGCGGUGGAGUAUGUGGUUUAAUUCGACACUACGCGAAGAACCUUACCAGCUCUUGACAUGGUGGUCAUACCCUUCGUAAUGGAAGGGGUCGGUUCGGCCGGACCACACACAGGUGCUGCAUGGCUGUCGUCAGUUCGUGUCGUGAGAUGUUGGGUUAAGUCCCGCAACGAACGCAACCCUUAUCGUUAGUUGCUAACAUUUUAGGUGAGAACUUUAACGAUACUGCCGGUGAUAAACCGGAGGAAGGUGGGGACGACGUCAAGUCAUCAUGGCCCUUAUGGGCUGGGCUACACACGUACUACAAUGGCGGUUACAAAAGGCAGCGAAGGGGCAACCUGGAGCGAAUCCCAAAAAACCGCCUCAGUUCGGAUUGUUCUCUGCAACUCGAGAGCAUGAAGUCGGAAUCGCUAGUAAUCGCAGAUCAGCGUGCUGCGGUGAAUACGUUCCCGGGUCUUGUACACACCGCCCGU